GAGGUUAAGCGACUAAGCGUACACGGUGGAUGCCCUGGCAGUCAGAGGCGAUGAAGGACGUGCUAAUCUGCGAUAAGCGCCGGUAAGGUGAUAUGAACCGUUAUAACCGGCGAUUUCCGAAUGGGGAAACCCAGUGUGAUUCGUCACACUAUCAUUAACUGAAUCCAUAGGUUAAUGAGGCGAACCGGGGGAACUGAAACAUCUAAGUACCCCGAGGAAAAGAAAUCAACCGAGAUUCCCCCAGUAGCGGCGAGCGAACGGGGAGGAGCCCAGAGCCUGAAUCAGCAUGUGUGUUAGUGGAAGCGUCUGGAAAGGCGCGCGAUACAGGGUGACAGCCCCGUACACAAAAGCGCAUGUGCUGUGAGCUCGAUGAGUAGGGCGGGACACGUGGUAUCCUGUCUGAAUAUGGGGGGACCAUCCUCCAAGGCUAAAUACUCCUGACUGACCGAUAGUGAACCAGUACCGUGAGGGAAAGGCGAAAAGAACCCCGGCGAGGGGAGUGAAAAAGAACCUGAAACCGUGUACGUACAAGCAGUGGGAGCACAGGUUUACCUGUGUGACUGCGUACCUUUUGUAUAAUGGGUCAGCGACUUAU
rnacentral:rRNA from 1 species